GUUCGCUGCCGCGCAGGCAGCUUAGAUG
rnacentral:other from 1 species